rnacentral:rRNA from 1 species
UACGUAGGGUGCAAGCGUUAUCCGGAAUUAUUGGGCGUAAAGAGCUCGUAGGCGGUUUGUCGCGUCUGCUGUGAAAACCGGAGGCUCAACCUCCGGCCUGCAGUGGGUACGGGCAAACUAGAGUGCGGUAGGGGAGAUUGGAAUUCCUGGUGUAGCGGUGGAAUGCGCAGAUAUCAGGAGGAACACCGGUGGCGAAGGCGGGUCUCUGGGCCGUAACUGACGCUGAGGAGCGAAAGCAUGGGGAGCGAACAGG